AUUGAACGCUGGCGGCAGGCUUAACACAUGCAAGUCGAGCGAGCGGCGGACGGGUGAGUAAUGUCUGGGCAUCUGCCCGAUUCAGGGGGAUAACUACUGGAAACGGUGGCUACUACCGCAUACUAUCGGAUGAACCCAUAUGGGAUUAGCUAGUAGGUGGGGUAAAGGCUCACCAAGGCGACGAUCUCUAGCUGGUCUGAGAGGGUGACCAGCCACACUGGGACUGAGACACGGCCCAGACUCCUACGGGAGGCAGCAGUGGGGAAUAUUGCACAAUGGGCGCAAGCCUGAUGCAGCCAUGCCGCGUGUAUGAAGAAGGCCUUAGGGUUGUAAAGUACUUUCAGCGGGGAGGCGUUACCCGCAGAAGAAGCACCGGCUAACUCCGUGCCAGCCGCCGCGGUAAUUC
rnacentral:rRNA from 1 species